rnacentral:tRNA from 1 species
GUUUUAAUAAUUUAACAAAAAUAUUGGUCUUGUAAACCAAACAUAAGGAUAAGCCUUUUAAAACU